AGUGAACGCUGGCGGUAGGCCUAACACAUGCAAGUCGAACGGCAGCACAGUAAGAGCUUGCUCUUACGGGUGGCGAGUGGCGGACGGGUGAGGAAUACAUCGGAAUCUACUUUUUCGUGGGGGAUAACGUAGGGAAACUUACGCUAAUACCGCAUACGACCUACGGGUGAAAGCAGGGGAUCUUCGGACCUUGCGCGAUUGAAUGAGCCGAUGUUGGAUUAGCUAGUUGGCGGGGUAAAGGCCCACCAAGGCGACGAUCCGUAGCUGGUCUGAGAGGAUGAUCAGCCACACUGGAACUGAGACACGGUCCAGACUCCUACGGGAGGCAGCAGUGGGGAAUAUUGGACAAUGGGCGCAAGCCUGAUCCAGCCAUACCGCGUGGGUAGAAGGCCUUCGGGUUGUAAAGCCCUUUUGUUGGGAAAGAAAAGCAGCAGGUUAAUACCCCGCUGUUCUGACGGUACCCAAAGAAUAAGCACCGGCUAACUUCGUG
rnacentral:rRNA from 1 species